rnacentral:rRNA from 1 species
GAUGAACGCUGGCGGCGUGCCUAAUACAUGCAAGUCGAGCGAACGGACGAGAAGCUUGCUUCUCUGAUGUUAGCGGCGGACGGGUGAGUAACACGUGGAUAACCUACCUAUAAGACUGGGAGAACUUCGGGAAACCGGAUCUAAUACCGGAUAUUAUUUUUAACCGCAUGGUUCAAAAGUGAAAGACGGUCUUGCUGUCGCUUAUAGAUGGAUCCGCUUUGCAUGAGAUAUUUGGUAAGGUAACGGCUUACACAGCCAACGAUGCAUAGCCGACCUGGGAGGGGGAUCGGACACACGGGAAGUGAGACACGGCACAGCCUACAAUGGGACGCAGCAGAAGGGAAUGUAACGCAGUGGGAGGAACGCUGACGGGGCAAAGCCGCGUGAGUGAUGAAGGUCUUCGGAUCGUAAAACUAUGUUAUUAGGGAAGAAAAUAUGUGUAAGUAACUGUGCACAGCUUGACGGUACCUAAACAGAAAGCCACGGCUAACUACGUG